GGGGAUGACCUGUUCCUUGGGGAGCAGAGCUGACUCUGGAGGCUGGUCCUGCGGCCAUGCUGGGAAAGAAGGAGGGGAGGGGUGACCCUUAGAGCCCGGCAUUGCUGGAUGCAGGAGGACCUGGUCCUGCAGGUGCUGAGGGGCAGACAGGAAGGGAGUCGGCUGCAGCCCAGGGUGCUGCUCUGGCCUUCACAGAACCGUCCUGGUGCUGCCCCAGGUACCUUUAAUACUCCAGGGGUGGCCAGGGAGUCUCUGAGAGGGAUGAAGCUUCCAGCCCACAGAACACAGCGAGCGUGACUGGGUGAUGACGUUACGAAACACGUCACAGUUGUCUAACUGGCAGACUCUCUUGCUGGCUUGGUGGCACAAGUGCCAGACUGGUGUGGCCCAAACAGCAAGGAGCAGAAAGCAGCCUCCAGUCAAAGCCAGAAAACACCGAGGCCCCCAGCAACCCACGCUGCCGGCCACCGUGAGGACUCAGGCAGGUCCUUCUGCAGCCGAGCCUCGGGGAGGCCUGCAGCCCCGAGGACGUCCCUGCACCGAGUCUCUGAAGCAGAGGGGCAGCUAAGCCAAGCCGACUCCUGACCACAGAGACAGGAAGGACAGGUCGGUGUGCGUGGAGCUGCUGUGUGCGCAGUGAUGCCGUCACACGGCCAGGGUUAGGCCACCCGAGGUACGCAGUGGCCAGGUCAGACUGGCCCUCAGAAGACUCAUCCAACCCGAGUCCAGGGCCAUCUGCACUGAUUUUUAUCUUCUGCGCUGCGCUGAGUUCAGUCCUUGCAUAAAACGGGGCCUGAUGCACAUCUGUUCAGCCCUGGCACCGGCUCAGGCACCGAGGACGCGGCUAGCGCACGAGCAAAUCCUGCCUGCACAGCUCAGGGGUGGGGGCCAGGACCCUGGGUCUGGGCUCCCUCCAGCUGCUCCCACCCAGAGUGACUCUGCGCACGCCUCCCUGGGGUUGUGCACCUCACGGAUCAAACCUCCGACCUCCCACGCAGGGUCUGUGCAGGUUGAAUGAGCUAACAUGGCGGCCUGUGCAGAAGCCCACGGAGGGAGGAGUUGUUAUUGUUCUGAAAUGUCCCAGGCAUUCCUGCCGGCUGACUCACGGGGCUCCAGACAUGGAGGGCUCCCUUCCAAAUAAGGCUCGGACGUGUCCAGGCGGCGGCCUGCGGGCUUUGCUGGUCACCCUGCCGCUGAUGUGAGUGCAGAGCCGGAGUCUGUUGACCCAGGGCUGGCCUGCUCCUGGCCUCUCCCGAGUGGCCCAGCUGCAGUGUGGCCGCGAAGGGCCCUGGGAGCGGCCUUCACGGAUCCCGGUGGGGGCUGUGGGCUGGUGUCUGAGUCAGAGGACGGAGGAAGACAGGAGUGGACGGCCGCCAGGGGCCGAGCACAUCUCUCGGCGGGAUUUCAGAGGCCGCGGCCGUCCCGGCAAACCACGGGUUUGGAUCCCGCCAGUGACGGGGACCUCAGAGGAAGGGAGUUUCAACAGCAGCCAGUGCCUUUGGAGGCAGCAAGGACUGGAAUCGAGUUUCUCAUCUGAGACUGAAAAUCUGUUUCUGAGCUUCAGUGGCGGUGACACGUGACCGUGCACUGGUAUCUAGGAGGAGCCCGACCCCGGGAAUCGGCUCCUGUGAUCAUGGAGCCCGAGGAGUUCCACGAAACGCUGUUGGCAAGCUGGACAGGCAGGACAGCGGAGCUGAGACUCAGACUGAGGAGGUCCUGCAGGGUCGGGGGGGUGGGGGCGGCCCUGGCCUGCAUCUGAGUUUGAAGACUUGGGAGCUUUGGGGUCCUUUGGGUGUCCCAUCCCCAGCAGAGAGAGCACAGUGGCCUCCUCCACGGUUUGUCCACCCAGCCCAUGCCCAUCCACCUGGGUGGACUUCACUCAGUCCACAGAGUGAGGGGCUAAGCUCUUCCAACAACGCUCAGAGAUAAAGUGUGGUGUCCCUUAACCCUGGCACGGUGACACUGAAGGUUAGCCGUCACACCAGACUGCACAGCCAGCCCCAGCUGGGUUAACUCAGGGCACGUGGAUCUGCUUAGACCAAGCACGACCACAGGGCACCGUGGCCGCUGGCUGCAUGUGGCUUUCCACGGGAGGCUGACCAAACUCUCUGGGAUCCCCCAAGCAGUGCAUCAGGAACCAGGAUGUGGUGUGUGAUGGGAAGGGAGGGAGCGGGGUGACGUGGCCUCCCCUCAGCUUAUCCUGGAUUCCCUCUGAAGCAGGCCCUGACCCCAUCCUGGGAUCCACACCCAGCCAUCCCCUUGUCGGUGGGCUCUACCUCUGCACAGCCAACCAAUGGCAGGUGGAAGAGACUUGGGGGAAAAACCCCACAUCGAUAAAAAAGAACAAUACAACAACAAGAAAAGUGUGAAGAAAAAAUCGACAUCACCACUGUUCACGUAGCAUUGACAUUGUGUUAGGCGUGACGAGUAACCCAGGGACUGUUUAAAGGACAGGGAGGAAGCACUUAGGUCACAUCCAAGCACCACUGCUGUCAUUCCUAUAAGGGACUCGAGCCACCUCAGAGGUAGGUGACCAUGGGGACCUGGAGCACAUCGUCUUUGGAUCCCGGUCCCCUCCUCCAGGUGCGAGGUAGCUGGGGAGCUGCUUCUGGUCUGCUGUGCUCAGGGCCCAGGGCCGAAGGUCAGGUGCCUGAUCAGACUUGUCACCAGUGCGCCCAGGAGCACACAGGGCCCAGGGGCUGAGGGUGGGUCUUGCUGCACCUGGCUCCCGCUCCGUCUCCGCUGCCCUGGACCAAGCCGGGCCUGCCGCUGUCCCCCUCUUCCUUGGGUUCCCCGCGGCUGUUGAGAGGUGCUGACUACCUCCUGUCCCGUCCUUUGGGGUGCAGAGCCACCGUCAUCUCGGCAGACCUUGGCCCAGCUGCCAACUCUUCUCUUCGUCUGGCCUCCCCGGCCGCCCACUGGGACAGGCAGCAGCAGGACGUGCUGGGCCGGGAGGGGACUGGGAGCUCCGCAGCAGGCUGCCUGGGCCUCCCGAGGGGAGGACUGCCUCCCCUCCCGCUGCCCCAGCCCUGACUCACAGGACACUGGAAAGAGGACAUGAAAUGCCCACAGCUCCAGGGUUCCACGGGGCCACAGGAUCUGGAUCUCUCCAGGGAGAGGAGGGAGUGCCGCAGCCGGGGCCCACGGGGCCACGGAACCUCAUCGGCGGGUGUCCAUAUCUGUGGUCUGUGUUCUGGGGCUGCUUUUCCUGUCCCUCACAGCCAUCCUGACCGCUCCUGUCAUCGAGGGGGCCUGGGCUUCUGCACAGGGAGGCGGAGGCCUCCCUCGUUCAUGGACGAGGCAGGUCUUGCCAGACCAGCACCAGGAGCGGUCAGGCCUGGUCAGAAGUUUUAAUGAAGAGAACAAGAAAUGGUGGGCGGGCACGGGCGGGGGCGGGCGGCUGUGAUUCCAUCUUCCCUUUUGGCAGAAACUAACUUCUCUGCGAGAACAAUGAGAAGUCGGGGUGGAGUUUCCCCUGCCACUCAGCACCCCCAGGAAAGUGCUGUGGCUGCGAGGGCUGGACGGCUCUGCCUGCUGAGCAGGCCUGGAGGGCUGGUCAGUGGCCGCCCGGCUCUGCUGCCUUGCCUGACCCUGAUGUCCUGAGCCCUUCCUGCUGCGCAGACCGCCACACCGUGGCCUAGACCACAGCAUCUGUCGUGUGAAGGCUACUGUUCCCCCGCAGGGCUGGCCUUGGCGAUGUCCUGGGGUCAGUGGAGAGGCAGGCUGGGCAAUGCUGGCCAGGCAGGGGCUGGGGACACGGGACGGCUUCCUUUCCCAGGAAGGAGGGCUUCUUGGAGCAGGGCACCUCACUGGACUCCUGAGUCUGGCACAGCUACGACCCCAAUCCGGGUGGUAGACACAGUCCACAGCCAAGCUGGCCCCUUGCUGGCUGCGUGGUGGCCACUGUACCCUGUGCCUUUCCUGUACCCAGGGUCCCUCUGGGCUUCCUGGGCGUCCGGUCCUGCCUUAUAAAGCUGCUCUCAACUCCACUCAAAGACCCAGUUCCAAGCCCGGCUGGGCCUCCUUGCUGCGGGGGACAGGGACGGGGGCUUCCGGAUACUCGGACAUGGACAACUCCACUGGCCUGCGUCUCUCUUUGUCAAAGGGAGGCCCCGGGCAGGCCGGUUGUCAUUAGGGAAAGCUCGGCAUAGAGUCCACGGGAUAAAAAUGCCGCACCCCUUGAAAAA